rnacentral:sRNA from 1 species
UAGUUCUACAGCGCCGUGCCGGUCAC